rnacentral:rRNA from 1 species
CCUACGGGAGGCUGCAGUGAGGAAUAUUGGUCAAUGGACGAGAGUCUGAACCAGCCAAGUAGCGUGAAGAAUGACUGCCCUAUGGGUUGUAAACUUCUUUUAUAUGGGAAUAAAACGUUCCACGUGUGGGAUUUUGUAUGUACCAUAUGAAUAAGGAUCGGCUAACUCCGUGCCAGCAGCCGCGGUAAUACGGAGGAUCCGAGCGUUAUCCGGAUUUAUUGGGUUUAAAGGGAGCGUAGGUGGAUUGUUAAGUCAGUUGUGAAAGUUUGCGGCUCAACCGUAAAAUUGCAGUUGAAACUGGCAGUCUUGAGUACAGUAGAGGUGGGCGGAAUUCGUGGUGUAGCGGUGAAAUGCUUAGAUAUCACGAAGAACUCCGAUUGCGAAGGCAGUUCACUGGACUGCAACUGACACUGAGGCUCGAAAGUGUGGGUAUCAAACAGGAUUAGAUACCCGUGUAGUC